rfam:Nannochloropsis gaditana strain B-31 chromosome 17, whole genome shotgun sequence.
GCAGGCGUAGUUUAGUGGUAGAAUUGGUCGUUGCCAUCGACCAGGCCCGGGUUCGAUUCCCGGCGCCUGCA